rnacentral:rRNA from 1 species
AUGUGGCUGAAGGCAUUAUCUGGUUGGGAUAGUAAACAGAGCUGGGGUUCGGCGGCACUGGCCUACUUGUACCGUCAGUUGGAUGAGGCGUGUUGUAGGCACAAAGAUGAAGCUAGUAUUGGUGGUCCGUUGGUCCUACUUUCGGUUUGGAUGUGGGAACACUUCUCAGUUGGACGACCGAGAGUGAUUGGUUACGACGCCUGGGAUGAUCAUGACAACCCGCUACGGAAGCCUACAUGGGCGUACAAGUGGGACAAGGUUUCGGAGUUCACUGGUGACCCAAACAGGAUGUACAGGGAGUACACCAAUGAGUUUGACACGCUAACCUCUGAGCAGGUGACAUGGCAGCCAUAUGGAGCGCGGGACAAUUUUGCUUUCAUCCCUGAUUUCCAGUUGAACCCGAAGUGCACGGAGGAAUCACAUCUUUGGCUGAUGCGGUGCCCAUUGAUAUGCUUAUAUGCAGUCGAGUUCCACCUUCCACAGCGUGUGAUGACCCAAUUUGGGUUAUUUCAGGAUACACCGCCGAAGUGGAAGGACACGGGUGUCGCGCUUCACGGCUUGGACAAAAUGAAGCAGAAAAAGAUCAAGAACUGGGAGUCAUAUCAUGACAAGUUCAUCAAGAAAUGGAAUUACAUCGUGAGGGUGGCUAAUGAUAACCGACAAGUACAUCUCCAAGAGUACGAUGAAGCUGCAUUUGACAAAUAUCUUCGUUGGUUUCUUAGCGAGUCCCGUGUGGAGUUAUGCCCGCCUGCUUAUGAGGAGGGCAUAUUGGAGGCGCCCACAGGUUUUGAAGGGACUGCCAACCUUGAGUAUAACAGGCUCAUCAGAGAGGGCAGACAAACCGGAUUCGCUCCUGUGAUCAACUUUAUUUGUAGCGCUACUCGGUUACGUUCCUUAGCUCAUCUUCUUGGUUGCCGUACUGUCGAGGCCGACAUGCCCACCUAG